GACGAACGCUGGCGGCGUGCUUAACACAUGCAAGUCGAACGGAAAGGCCCUGCGCUUGUGGGGUGCUCGAGUGGCGAACGGGUGAGUAACACGUGAGUAACAUGCCCCUGUCUUUGGGAUAACUUUAGGAAACUGCGGCUAAUACCGGAUAGGAUCUCCUGCUGCAUGGUGGGGGAUGGAAAGUUUCGGCGGUUGGGGCUGGACUCGCGGCUUAUCAGCUUGUUGGUGGAGUAGUUGCGGACCAAGGCUGUGACGGGUAGCCGGCCUGAGAGGGUGACCGGCCACAUUGGGCCUGAGAUACGGACCAGUCUCCUACGGGACGCAGUAGUCGGGAAUAUUGCGCAAUGGGCGGAAGCGUGAUGCAGAAGCGCCGCGUGCGUGAUGACGGCCUUCGAGUUGUAAACCGCUUUCGCAUGUGACGAAGCGUGCGUGACGGUAAUGGGUAAAGAAGCACCGGCUAACUACGUG
rnacentral:rRNA from 1 species